rnacentral:rRNA from 1 species
GAUUGAACGCUGGCGGCAGGCCUAACACAUGCAAGUCGGGCGGUAGCACAAGGGAGCUUGCUCCCCGGGUGACGAGCGGCGGACGGGUGAGUAAUGUCUGGGAAACUGCCUGAUGGAGGGGGAUAACUACUGGAAACGGUAGCUAAUACCGCAUAACGUCUACGGACCAAAGCGGGGGACUUUCGGGCCUCGCGCCAUCAGAUGUGCCCAGAUGGGAUUAGCUAGUAGGUGGGGUAAUGGCUCACCUAGGCRACGAUCCCUAGCUGGUCUGAGAGGAUGACCAGCCACACUGGAACUGAGACACGGUCCAGACUCCUACGGGAGGCAGCAGUGGGGAAUAUUGCACAAUGGGCGCAAGCCUGAUGCAGCCAUGCCGCGUGUGUGAAGAAGGCCUUCGGGUUGUAAAGCACUUUCAGCGAGGAGGAAGGGWSCAGGUUUAAUACACCUGUUCAUUGACGUUACUCGCAGAAGAAGCACCGGCUAACUCCGU